rnacentral:rRNA from 1 species
UACGUAGGGGGCAAGCGUUAUCCGGAAUUAUUGGGCGUAAAGAGUGCGUAGGUGGUUUUGUAAGCGAGAGGUGAAAGGCUACAGCUCAACUGUAGUAAGCCUUUCGAACUGUAAAACUUGAGUGCAGGAGAGGAAAGUGGAAUUCCUAGUGUAGCGGUGAAAUGCGUAGAUAUUAGGAGGAACACCAGUGGCGAAGGCGACUUUCUGGACUGUUACUGACACUGAGGCACGAAAGCGUGGGGAGCGAACAGG